AAUCCAGGCAUCAUGAGUCACUAUUUAUAAUCUGCAGCAGAUGUGUAUAAAAUCAAUAGCUAAUGGACAGCAUGGUCUUGCAGUGAAUUAGGAGCAGAGUGUGAAAAUGUCAGUUUCUCUUCAGUGUCUCUGCCAGCUGAGAUCAGAUGAAAUUUCAACAGUUCUUCCUCUGUUCAUCAAAACUAGAUUUUAUAUAUAAACUUGCAGUAGGAAGGCACGUCAGAAAAAUAGCUACUUCUGUGUUUAAAUCCCCAUUUUUAUUCAUCCAACAAAACCAUACCUGUUAGCAAGAAUGGAAUAUCUAUAUAGAGAAGGAGGAGAUGUCAAGAUCAAGCACAGAGUCAUGUGAAUUCUUCCUCUGCUAGCAGGAGAAGGGAAAAAUGAUCAGUGUAAAUCCUUGGCUGUUUUGCUGCAAGUUUGUCAUUAUGGUAAUGAGUGAUGCAAGGACACUGUUAGACUUUGCCAUAUUUCUUAAUGCUUACUAUUUAUUGUAGUCCCUAGAGGCUCUAACAGGAAUGAUGAGCUGAUGCAGCACAACUGGGAGGCUGAUGGGGGCUGCAGUAUGAGGAAAUGGUCUUGGGUUCCUUAGUAAGACCAGGAUUGCUUAUUGCCUUCUAACUUCUAUAGAGGUUGCAGCUGCUGAGGAGGAGCAGGAGAGCACAGCUAUCACACUUGGUGGGUUCAAGGGCUUUGUGUGGUGAGCUGGAACUCAGAACUUUGGUCUGUCCGUGGCAAGGAAGUUCUUUCCUUGCAUGGUACAUAACAACUACACACUCAUUACUGAAGUGGAAUUCAAAAAAAGAUGAGGACUGAUAUGCAGACUACUGUGAAAACAAAAAGGUGUAAUUGCUGUUGUGAAAUGUAGAAGACCUGCCCCUUGCACCUCUCACCCAACAUGUUUUCUACUGCUGUCAAACUGUGAAAAGAGUACAGAGUUGUGAAGUGCUAUUUGUUUGACUGUGACCAUCCCACAGUUUCACUCUGUUGGAUUGUUAUGUUCUUUGAUUUGAUGAAGAUUUUGGUUGGCAUAAAUCUGGAUUUACUGAUCAAUGAAGACGAAUAAGCACAAUUUUCUGUUGGGAUUCAAGAUUACCUGCACUAGAAAACUAUGAUAAAUGUUAGCACUUCAUGAAUUGGAAUUAUUAACAUUUAAUUUACUAUUUCUUGAUACAUUUUAGCCUUAUAUGGUAAAUCCAUCACUUAACCUUUGCAGGAAAUAUAAUUGUCUUCAUUUAAUUUAUGUAAAUUGUUAUUUGUUUUCAAAUUGUGUGAUGAUAAAUAUACUGGUUUGUUGUUUAUCUAAACAACUUGAAAUUAAUGAUUUUGUAAGAUUUAUGCUACAGUUAAAAUAUUAACUUCCUUUGUUUAGAUCAUGUUAUAUAUUUUAUUCAGUUUAAUGUUCACAUACCUUGCAACACUUUCAUGCUACCAAGCUUUAGGUGCUUAUACUUGACUGCUGAUAAAGUGUGGAAUUGCAAUCUGUUAUUGUAAUACUCUGAAAUGAAAGAGAAAUUUGUGCUAUACUUUU